rnacentral:rRNA from 1 species
GGAGUAUACUGUCUCAUAAAGAUAAAAUAAAAUUAAUUUAACAGUAAUAAAGCUGUUAUAAACAAACAAGACGACAAGACCCUGAAUUCGAACUAAAAUGUCAGCUGGGGAGGCUAGUAAAUAAAACCUUAAUUAAGCAUAAAUAAACUCACUAAUAAAAAUAUAUCAAGUUACCGCAGGGAUAACAGCGCUACCUCUUUCUAAAGCCCAAAUAAAAAAAGAGAUCUACGACCUCGAUGUUGAAUUAAUUACCCUUUUUAGCGUAAAAACUAAAAAAGGAGGUCUGUUCGACCAAUAAACAAUU